rnacentral:lncRNA from 1 species
UAGUUCUGCCACUUCUUCUUGAACUUCUUGUUAGAUUUCAAGUCUGUAUUUUGUGUCCGUGACAACAACUCAUAGCUCAGUAAUGGGAUAUAUGCCUAUUGAGCUUAUGACAGGUCAAAAACCAAUUAUGCCAAUCAAAAAAAAAGUACCUACUUAGAGUAUGCUACCAUGGAAAGAUGGAUUGACAAGAAAAGAACUUCUAGCUAUUAGAAUUCAAUAAUUAGAGCAAAGAUCAGAAGAUGUGCAAAUAGCAUUAAGAAGGUUAAAAAGAGCGAGGUUACUUAAUAAGGCACAAUAUGAUAAGCAGCGUUGAUUGAGGCCUAAAAAAAUUGAAGAAGGUGAUUGGAUUUUGGUCUAUGAUAGUAGCUUAGACAAUCAACAUAGUAGUUUAAAGAAGUUUUCUAAAUGAUGGUUUGUACCGUAUGUG